GGGAGGUUUGGCACCUCGAUGUCGGCUCAUCGCAUCCUGGGGCUGUAGUCGGUCCCAAGGGUUGGGCUGUUCGCCCAUUAAAGCGGUACGCGAGCUGGGUUCAGAACGUCGUGAGACAGUUCGGUCCCUAUCCGUCGUGGGCGUAGGAAAUUUGAGAGGAGCUGUCCUUAGUACGAGAGGACCGGGAUGGACAUACCUCUGGUGUACCAGUUGUCGUGCCAACGGCAUAGCUGGGUAGCUAUGUGUGGACGGGAUAAGUGCUGAAAGCAUCUAAGCAUGAAGCCCCCCUCAAGAUGAGAUUUCCCAACUUCGGUUAUAAGAUCCCUCAAAGAUGAUGAGGUUAAUAGGUUCGAGGUGGAAGCAUGGUGACAUGUGGAGCUGACGAAUACUAAUCGAUCGAAGACUUAAUCAA
rnacentral:rRNA from 1 species